UUUCAAAUGAUGAGUCAAUAUCACCUGAUUUACAGUAUGUGAUGUAUUAUGCGAGCUUUUUAACACUGAUGUAAA